CGGGUAUCGAUAUUUAUAAUUUUGCGUAAGAGAACGGUGGAGGUAAAUAAAAUCUAUCAAGGCAUAGACUAGAGAUAAACUUGCAAGAACAUGAUUACUAAUGUGGAACUCGUCACACAGUCACUUACUUUGGCAGGGGGUAAGCCAUAAUAAUAAUGAUAAUAAAAUAUAAGCUCAUGGGUAAAUAACACAACGAUUAGAAAAUAGACUACUCCUCAUAUAUGUAAGGUGACGUCGGAUUAGCUAGAGAAUGGAUUCUGAGUUAUUUACUAUCUACUAAGUCACAAUCUACUCUAGUUAUCUACAAGAUCAUAUAUAGCAUAAAAGACUCUUCUUUCAUGUAUAAGGAACAUUGCUAAGGUAAAUUAGAACAUCACAAGACUUACUCCGCAAUAUAAAUUCUGCCUGUCCUAUCAACGGAGGGUGGACUAUAUAAGAAUCAACGAAGCUGUCACUAUCGCGAACUACCACACGACUCGGCCAUUAAGAUACAUUUGCAGGUAAAUAACAUCUAAGCACCACGCCUACAUGUGAUCUACCACUUAACUCUCGCGCGUCAAGAGCUAAGCGCUUUGCAAACUUAUACAUAAACUCAUUAUCAAUCACAACUAUAUAAAUUAUAGAACUAGAGCAAACUAAGAACAUAAUGAAUAGAGAUAUAGUAGAGAAAGAUAUGAAAUAAUACCAAUCUUUAUUGAUGAAGAUCUCUACUUCUCUAAAUCUAUCUAAUCAACCCUAU
rnacentral:lncRNA from 1 species